AAGUCGUAACAAGGUUUCCGUAGGUGAACCUGCGGAAGGAUCAUUAACACGUAUCCAACGUUAAACCCCCCCGUGAACCUUUAUUGUGGCACGCCUAUCCGUUAGAAAGUGGCAAUCCCUGGUAAAUCAUCGCCGAACAGUUUUGAUUCAGGGACUUCUGCGUGGGUAGGACAACUGCGCGAGCAAGUGACCUGGCAUCCCUCUGCUUGUUAGUGUCUGAAAGUGUCACUAGCUCUGAGAGGCCAACACGGCCGGCGACCGGGUCAAUGGGCCCUCGGCCCCCUAGAUCACCCCUUUGCAUGAAAACGGGCCUGCGCUUAAUUGUGCGGCCACCAAACUCGAACAACUGUUAACAAUGGAUAUCUUGGUUCUC
rnacentral:misc_RNA from 1 species